rnacentral:rRNA from 1 species
UUAAGCGGAGGAAAAGAAACUAACAAGGAUUCCCCCAGUAACGGCGAGUGAAGCGGGAAGAGCUCAAGCUUAAAAUCUCCAUACUUGUAUGGCGAAUUGUAGUCUAUUGAGGCUGUUGUCAGCAUCGCGAUUGGGGACAAGUCCCUUGGAAAAGGGCAGCAUAGAGGGUGAUACUCCCGUCUCUGCUCCAAUCUGCGGUGUGUACGAUACGCUUUCUUUGAGUCGAGUUGUUUGGGAAUACAGCUCAAAGUAGGUGGUAAAUUCCAUCUAAAGCUAAAUAUUGGUGCGAGACCGAUAGCGAACAAGUACCGUGAGGGAAAGAUGAAAAGAACUUUGAAAAGAGAGUUAAAGAGUACCUGAAACUGUUGAAAGGGAACCGUAUCGUUUCCAGUGUUGUAUCCUAUGCAUAUUUCAUUCGCGGAGUAAUUUGCGGGUGCCCUGUGCAUGGGUGUGACGUCAGGGUCAGUUUGUAUGCUGCGGGAGAUGGUCAGUGAGGAGGUGCGUCACUUCGGUGAAAGUUAUAUCUCGCUGUCUAGUAGCCGUGGUUGAGACUGAGGUGCCUACAACAUGCCUUAAGGUUCCGUGUUGUCUCGUGUUGGUGACUGCUUUGAUAGCUUGCUAUGUCUGUGGUUUAUCAGUGCGAUUGAUGAUGCGGAUAACUUUUGCUGUUCGGGACUCUGGCGAAAUGGAGCGAU